UCUGAUAGAUGUAUGGAAGCUUCUUCGAGUCUCUCAUCUUCUCCUCCUUGAAGCUCCCAGCUAAUCUACUGAUAAUGAUCCCUGAGCUCUCUCCGAUGAUCCACUGUCUCUACUUCCUCCGAUGAGCCAUUGUCUCUACUUCCUCCGAUGAGCUUCCAAUUUCUUCAUGCAGCUAAGUUUCUUGCUUUACAGAUGUGCUCAAUGUUACAUGUUGGUCGAGCACUUCUCCACUUCCUAAGUUUCAGGGUUAAUGAGUUAAUUGGAGGCACAACUUCCUUCACUUCUUCAAAUUUUCCCACCAAAGAACGUACAGAAAGCCAAAAAAUGGAGAAAGAAACUAUCUUUUGGCGCUUACUUUUUUUAGGUUUUUGGCUCCAAAAGAAUUUCAGAAUAACCACGAUAUAUUUGAGAAGUUUCAUUGCAAAAUGAAAGAAUAUCUGAACCUGGACAAGAAGACCAGAGUUCUGUAAAUCAAUGGCACCGGGUGGACGUGUCUUUAGACAAACUACACUUACAGGGGAAACGACUCAAGAUACUCAAUCAGUGGAUGACUCAAAUAACCUUAUUCAUGUU